rfam:TPA: Bos taurus chromosome 13, whole genome shotgun sequence.
UCCCCAGUGGCUCAGAUGGUAAAGAAUCUGCCUGUCAUGCAGGAGACCCAGGUUCCAACCCUGGGUUGGGAA